rnacentral:lncRNA from 1 species
ACAUAUAUUUAUACCUAUUAUUGUAUUGGUCAUACUAUACAAUGAUUCAUAGCUUGUCUUUGUUGAAAACUACAGAACAUAAAGAGCAUUAAAAAAUAAUUGGAUUUAAAUCGCAAUAUUGGUAAAAAAAAUAAAUAAAUAAAGCGCAAUUAGAUUAUUUUCCAAAAUUCUUCAGGUCACGAUCACUUUAAAACAAUCAGUUAAAUAUAUUUUACCCGGAUCAGUCACAAAAACACUGUUUUGUAUGUUUUUUAAAGCCUUUUGUUUUUCAGGGACACAGGAAGUGACCUCAUAAACCAUGUUUACAUUGUAGUACCCAGAGCCAUAUAGAGUGAGAGUUGCGACAACUCCAUUGACUCCAAUGGAACGCUUUUUUUUACAGCAAUGGCGGCUCGUGGAGCCUCUCAAUAGUUCCCGGAAGUAGCGGCAAACCGAUGCCGCGCCGUAGAAGAUGCAGCAGAACAAACCGUUUGCGACGCACUUUUAACAGGUGGAGGAUUAGUGGUGCCACUGAAGUGUUCUGUGAUGGAGCAUCAGUGAGGAUGCAGGUCAGGAGAGCUGAGGGGACCUUUUUUUUUGAUAGCUGAAUUUUCAUUAUUUUUCUUAGUGCUGCCUUUGCAUUGCUUGAUCUUUAUUUUUUUUUCUUGUCUCUUAAAUUUUUUUAAUAGACCCUGGUAACUGGCUGAUGGUUCACAGGAAUGCUGACUGGCUGCUGACUGACUUGCUGCUGGUUGACUGGGCAGUGUCACCUGUC